GGGAUUGGAGUCUUGAUCAUGGG
rnacentral:siRNA from 1 species